AUUGAACGCUGGCGGCAGGCUUAACACAUGCAAGUCGAGCGGAGUGGCGGACGGGCGAGUAAUUCCUAGGAAUCUGCCUGGGAGUGGGGGAUAACGUCCGGAAUCGGGCGCUAAUAUCGUAUACUAUCAGAUGAGCCUAGGUCGGAUUAGCUAGUUGGUGGGGUAAGGGCCUACCAAGGCGACGAUCCGUAACUGGUCUGAGAGGAUGAUCAGUCAAACUGGAACUGAGACACGGUCCAGACUCCUACGGGAGGCAGCAGUGGGGAAUAUUGGACAAUGGGCGAAAGCCUGAUCGAGCCAUGCCGCGUGUGUGAAGAAGGUCUUCGGAUUGUAAAGCACUUUAAGUUGGGAGGCGUUACCAACAGAAUAAGCACCGGCUAACUUCGUGCCAGCAGCCGCGGUAAUUC
rnacentral:rRNA from 1 species